GUGUGCGUGUCUGUGGAGGAGCUGGGCAGGCAAAUAGCAUGCAGAAAGUCUGCAUCGCCAGCUGAUGAACAGGAGGGAAAUCCGUCUCGCCAGGGAGCCGGGAGCAAUCAAGCGCCUGUGCCCGUGUGCGCAGCGAGCAGGCAGGCAGCGCAAACCGGGUGACGACGACGACAAGUCAAACAGCACACGCAACGUCAGACAUAGAAAUGGCAAGAUCUGGGCUGCAGCUUUCCGAUGACACAGUCUUUCCUAUUUCUUCUCCUACCCGCGAGGACACACAACAUUGCAUGGGACUCCAGAAACCUCGGAUUUUUCUCCACUGAUUUUUACACUGGAAAUAAAGUGGGUUUGGCAUGGUUGAACCCACACAGACGCACACUCCCACAUAAUCUCAUUUAUACAGAUAUUUCUUCAAGGCAUCAGCAGUCCGGCCAAGUGCCAAUCGCAGGGUUGCAGCACACAAAUCCAGAGCAGCAGAAUUAGCAAGGAACAAAGGCUUGGACGGGGCUCCCCGCGUUGCCCCAAGGACUGCGGGGAGUUUGUCUCCCUUUGCCCCAAGAGAAGCUCCCCAAAAGGCUGCUGAUCCAGGGACCCCCUUGGAGAUGCCACCCCCAGCGGGACGGCUGGGGCUGGGAGGGAGCCAAAAGUGCUGCAGCUGGCCAAGGGCUCACCCACCCGUCAAGUCAGUCUGGGCUAUGGAGAAGCCAAGACCCUGCCUCUUCCUUGCUCCUUUUUCCUCUGCUCCCCUCACUCUGUAGCAAGCCAUGGACCACAGAGCCAGACUGUGCAGGGCCGACACACCAUCGAGUAGCCAAAGUUCCACACACCGGUGAUCUGCUAAAUAACAGAGGGUUCCCCAUUAAAAUAAAUGAUGAAAGUUUCUCCCUGAAAGCAGAGGUUUGAAGUAAGCCGCUGUGAUUUCUGAAGACUGAUGUCCAUUGACAGGAGAUGAUAAUAGUAUCUAUCUCUUGAAAGCGCAAUUAAAUAAAAGACAAGGCCGAUUAGAAAUGUGUCUGACACAUGCAAUUCAGGUUGGCUUCUGACAUGGCCAUUUUUAAAGUUCAGGUCAUCUAGAGGACAUUUCUGUCCUGCAGGGGCAAGCAGUGCAGUCUGUUAAGCAGAGCAGGAACCUGGGAAACAACACACUUGGGGUCUAGCGCUCAUUCUGCCGGUGCUUUGGUGCCUGACGUUGCACAGGGGUAGUAGCUUCAUUUCAGCAGCCAGUACCCAGAGUGGGAAUCAAAAGAUCAGGCUACUGAUUUGGACAGAUACUGACUCAUUUUGAGGCCAAGAGAAUGCUAUUUAGCACUAACUUGAUGCUCAGCCUUACGGGACAACAAUGUUGUUUGUAAGGGAAACGCGGCUCUGUGCAUCCUCCUCCUGGCAGAGCAAACACAGCUUGUGCCCAGAGCAGCUUCUGUGCUUCUCUGGGUCAGUCAGCACUAUAGCGUUAUUGUCUUUUGGAGGGAGAAAAAGGGGAAAGGGCCUGAAUUUGGUCAUAUUUUCUCUGCAGCAAAUUUUUUUCCGCAGCAAUUUUUUUUCCUGUUACUGAUAGCAUUAAUUCCUAGAGAAGUAAAAUUACUAAGGUUUUUUAAUUUCAUGGUCAUUUUGAUAUGCUAAAUGGUGCCAAGAGAGGAAAUGCAGAGUUUAAAUCCCCAUGGAACAUAGAAAUUGCAGUUAAAAUAGUGCCGCUAAAUAUUAGUAAUUAGCAAAAAUUAUUUUAAAGUGUAACAUUUUAAUUAGCUGCAAAUGCUGUUCACUUUGCAUCAGUAUUACCCAAAAAAUUUACUAUACCUAAGACAGUUAAGCUCAUCACCUGCACAAAUCCCUUGGGCAUCCGUGGGUAAUAACUGUGAGACCCACAGUGUUGUACACUAAAUAAAACGAAAACUGUAUUAACGGGAUAGGAUUGAAAGCAUAAUCUUCUAACAAGCAUGGUAGUCAAAGAUGCAAUCAUUGCAACUGUGGUGCCGUGUCACUCCUUCCUGCCUGAGUUGCUCUGUGUUUCCUAGCAUAAUUUUCUUAUUAUCCAUUCCUUAGGGACCAUGUUAAAACAGGGCCCCUGUCUAUCCCAUUCUAGCUUAUCCCAACUCACUGCAUCCAUGGGCUUUCCCAGUAUUUGGUAAUGGUCCUUAAUUCCAGAAGAUCUUGUUCUGCAGCUGUGGACUCGUCCCUUGGGAAGGCUCUGCUUUCUCUCCAGGCCCUUUCUCUUUCUGUAGAAAGUUCCAUGGUAUGAGAAGAGCAAGGCAACAGAUCUCAGUCCCCAGCCUGACAGGGUGUGCAGGGCAUGGGCCGUGUAGGAAGAGGCAGAGCCCACGUAGAUGAUGAGAGAAAGAAAAUUCUAGGACAUGCUAGGACAGUGCAGUCUCUGCCACACAGUAACAGAGGACUGAGAUACCUCAAAUCAAAUCCAUGCACAUGGGCUCCAUGGACUGGCUGACAGAACAGGCUGGGUGCACUCACGUCUGGAAAACCUGCAGACAGGGACCUGCAAGAAGAGGAGCUGGGGCAGAGUGAGGCAUGGGAGCACCUUCCCUCAGUCUCUGUGACGCUGUGAUGCAGGACAUCAAGGUAAGAUUCUUCAACAGCCUGAUAAAGUGCCCCUAGAAAGACCAAGAGCUGCUUCUAUUGAUGUUUUAAAAUGAGGAAUUGAAGCACACAGCAAUUGAAUUCUGUAAGAUUAGGCUCUCUUGAAGACCCUCAGUGUAGCAGAUUCACCAGAGUACUCAGGUGCUUGCCUCCAAGUGAUGCCAACGGGACAUGCAUCCUUAAAUAUGCCCGGUGAGCUGGGUCAAGGCCUGUUCAAGGUCAUAUGGGCAGUCUGCGGCAGAGCUAGGAGCUGUACUCCUGCCAUCUGAGCCCAGGAAAAUGCCUUUACAAUAAGAUCAUUCAUGCUCUUAUGUGUAUGUCUUCUGCUUGUAGAGGAAUGAAUAGCUGUGUACUAGAAAUACUGUGCCAAAGGAAAUUUAAACUUUAGUUGUCUGUUCAUGUAGCACUGUUACUAUGAAAGCUCUUGGAUGUAUUUAUUUUAUAAGUAUCAUCUGACAAGGGCUUUGGUACAGGCAAUGAUCAGACAACAGAGAGACACGAUUAUGAUGGGUUCGGUCCAUGUGGCCGAAAACACACUGACCAUCCUGUGCCAUCCUGCAAUUCAGGGCAUCACGGAGCUGGGCCCCAUCUGCACCAGCCCACGGGUUCACAGGCAUCCAAAGUUGGUGAGCUAAUGGCAAAAGUUGUGUCUCUGUCCUAAACAUCUCUUUCAUGUCAUUGCUGCACAAGAUGCAAGGAAGAAUAUUGCUUUUACAAUACACAGCAAUUGUAACAUUUGUGAAAUCUCAACUGAUUUCAAACACUUCCAGUUCAAGUUAUAUUAAAAAAAGCAGCAAAGGGUUGGAGACUAUCAAUACACUGUAACUAAAACUACAUGAUGAGAAGGCCAUAAACAUAAUAAACUACAUAAACUUCAGAUGAGAAGGCCAGCUGUGUGGGACAAAGAAAGUAGCAAUAGAUACUUUGGAAAGUGAAUUGAAUUUGCACAGGUCAGUUCGAUCCUUGCACUUCUAAGCUUCAAUAUUUCACUGAGUGGCUGUAAUAAUUUUUAACACAGCUUUCUGGAUGUAGUUUUUCAAGUCACAAAAAGACAGAAAUCCCGUGAUAUCACACCAUGCUGAGAGCCCCGUGGCUCAUUAGUGGGGCUGUAAAACCGGGAGGCACCAGGCAGAGGUCGGACACCUCAGACAACACGGGGACUGGCAGCAGCAGGGAGGUGCCGCAGCCAAGCGGGAGGUGAUGGGGGCACGCAGCCUUUCCCGGAUGGGAGGCAAUGGAAAGACCCAUGGCAAAUCCCAGACAAAACAUCUGGCCCUCUUGCCAAAUUUCAAAUCCCUGCUCCAAAGCAGGGACACGCUCCAGCCGUUCAGCGAAAAGGUCGCCAGAAGCGCUUUGCAUGGUGCGAAACAGCUUCUUCUGCCCCUGCCUCUCGCACUUGGCGCCAGGCUUUGGCUAAGCCUGUUUGGCUGGAUCCUUCCCUCAAAGAAGUCAGAAGCAGAGCAUGGAAAAAAAAAAUCACCUCAAAAUGUUUGGCAAAGCUUUAGUUGACUGAAAAUGGGGUUGUAUAGUGGGAUGUCUUGAAUAACUUGAAAAGCAAAGCAUCCCUACCAGCACUGCCUAUAGUGCAGUUGACUGUACAGGGUGUAUGAAUGCCAUUUUUUAGUGUUUUUCCAGCUGCGGUGUGUUCACCCAGACUUAAAAUGAUGUCAGUGGUAUCUCUGUCAUCUGCCUCCCGUCAGCACAGGCCACUUUACAUGGGCACAGUCACGGAGAGUCGUGCCCUUGGACAUCCACUGCUCUGGGAGUACCAAACCUUGAGCUUAAACUAUGAGGCAAAAGGAAAAACAACAUUCUGUCUCAUGCAUCCGUAAGCAGCCUAAAUGGGUAACAAGAGGACCUCCUCUGCAGUGACAGUGGUGUUUUCUGGCAGCUCUCUGCCAGCUUUGCACGGUGUCCAGGGCCCCGGUGAUCUGCUCUGGGCAGCUACAUCCCAAAGCUGAACUGGGGACACUGACUGAUCUGCUUUCGCUCUCACGGGCACCUUCAAAGGGAUGCUGCCAACUGAACCCUCACUCCCAUUGCUCUUGUCGUCCCACAAUACCAUGUCUGUGCUAGACCAUUAAUUAAUUUUGUCUCUCUGAUAGCUGUAAUUGCUCUUAAAAUCCCUCUCCUACUCUAGCUUCUCUUUUUACAACUGUUCUGUCAGCCAACGUGGUGGAGAGCAGACUGCCCGCCGACCGCACUGCCGCUUGCAACCAGGGGUUCUCAGGCUACAUUUUUCUACUGCAAAAUGAGGUCUCUGGUGCAAGCGAGGCCUCGUGCAGCUGUGUUAGCAGUCCUGGCACGGGCAGGUCAAUGGACUCAGUGGCACAGGGAAGGUGAUGGGCGAGGUCUGGCCUUGCCAGGGUGAAAUAGAAGUUGCAGGAAGGAGCUAACAGACCCUGUCUGAGGUCCCUGCUGUAGGUCUUGGCCUGGAUCAGGGUAAGAAGAGUAAAGCUUAUUAGUAACUCAGCUGAGACAGCUCCUGAUUUCAGCACGGUUGUAUCUGUAGCAUGACUCCCUGUGCACGCACCUCAAAAUAAUUCAUACCACACCUGCAGUCCUGGUGAGCCACCAGUAAAGGUGAGAGAAGGAUGCCCAGGAGGGCAGGCAGUUUUGUGCCUCCAGGGCCAAAGAGACUCCUGCUCAAGGUGAUGGGAAAGCUCUUGUGCAAAGGUGGACCAGGGGGCGGAAGGGCAUAUUAAUAAAGGUGGUACUGACUGACUGAUCCACAGAGCAGAGGACAAAGCCCCAGGAAGGCUGGCACAAGGAAGUCUGCGUUAUUGUUCAGUAGAAGAGAAUGGGAAUGUUUACUCCAUUUAAAAAACGAGCUGUGAAUGGACGGAGAAAUGAGGAUGUGUUUUGCAGUGCAUCGAAAGAUUGGGAUUCGCUGCCCCAGGAGAUUACCAAAAUGAAGAGUUCAGGAGGUCUGAAAAAAAAUGCAUGGGCAAUUAAAAAGGUUGUGGAUAUCUCCAGGGUUACCUCAUUUGAGAUAAUCAUGCAGAAGGGAUAUAAACCAGAGCUCUUCAGGGGACAUGCCAAGUGAUAAAUGCCUGGGGUUAGGAAAAUAUUUUCCUAUAGGCAAGUUAUGAUUGGCCAUUCUGGCAUUUCUUGUUCUGGCUUUAUAGCACUUGGCAAUUCAGUACCUUCAGAGACAAGACAGGGGAGUAGAUGAGCUGGGAGCCCGGUCCAAGGCAGCAAUCCCUCUGCUCCCACGUCCUGCUGUGUGAGAAAGCAUGUGAGGAAUUAUAAUUCUCUUUGGACAUGUGACCCAAAUUGCAGUGGGAAUUUGCAUUCCUGGUGCCUGCUUCCAUUUCACAUCUUCCCCCCACGCACAGUAACACCUGCAAGAAGGUUUAUUGACCUCUCUGAGAGCACAAGCUCUACAAUCUUUUCAGAGAAAUUAAAAAGAGUAUCUACAAAGGAAACCAAAAAGUAAAAAGGAGUCAAAAAUAUGUCAAUGCAAUGUAAAAGCUUAUCCAUACAAAACAAACUUGCUAAAAGAAAAAUCAACUGUCACUUUAAAACCUGACAUUAAGUUUCUCAAAUCGCAGCCCUUAAUCAGGAGUAAUACUUGAAGAGGAACAAAGAGAAUUUAUGAUGAAAAAUCAGGACAGUUGAGCGCUAGGCUCAGCGGGACUAACUGCAUGACAAUAUGGAUAAGAAUGAUAAUUGCAUUAGCUUAGCCUGAAAUGACUGGCCAGAGCUGGUUUUUUUGGUCAGCUGGAUUUUUGUAAUGUCUUCAUUUACUUUUUAAGCAAACUUGGAAGGAGAAUUACAAAUAGAUUAGGGCACGUCCAUCCAUUCUCUUAAGGGGACAGGGCGUUUCAGAAAUUCAUCCUAAUAUUGGCUUAGAGCUCUUUCAAAUGUACAGGCCCAUAUGGGUUAAACCAAGGGUCCCUUACGGGUCCUUUUAAAGUAAGAUUAUCAGGAGAAGGUAGCUUCUGCUGACAAAAGUUAGAGGAUCCAAACCCAUGAUGCUCUCAUUUUAUUCCAUUCAUCAUACUCCAACCCUAUCCCCCAGUCAGACCCUCCCCAUGGUCACAUUCUUACUCUCACUUAAUCCAAUUUUUACAUCUUAGUUACCUUUUUAAAAAUUUAGAUAACUUCAAACAGACACUCAUCCUCUGCCCUUUAAAAACAACCUAGAGAGAUCUCUACCUAACCUACAUUUUUUUGCAAUAGGAAAUGCGGUGUUUAUCUCCCAGCUCUACAGACAAAUUCUAGUUCAAAUUCAAGCCCAGUGAUCCCAGUCCUGGGUCUGGCUGCCAGCGCCAUGCAGCUGGGACCUCCUGUAGCACCUGGUGGGAACAGCUGGGGGUUACCACUGCAGUGCGCUCCCAAACCAGUGCACUGCGGGAUGCCAGCCAGAGGAGGUGGCAGACAGUUCAGAUGGAGGGAGAGGAGGCUGACAUUCCCCCACAGCCCAUAUCGGAGCCACUGAUCUCACUGGUGAGAAGUGCUUUGAUGGAGCAGGAAUUUGCCCUUAGCAAAACCAGGAGCCCGAAGUGGGGAGCAUGAACAAUGCUGGGGAGGGGUGGGAGGGGUGGAAAAUGUGAACAGCAACAAAAACGGCUGACCAUGGCAAAUCUGUUGCCGGCCCACGUGCAGCAUCAAAUAUGUGUCAGUGUUAUGUCUCUUGGUGCUGUGCAGAGGGUCAGAAAGUCCGUAAGAUGGACACUUUCAGGGCAGGAGGCAGUGAGCACUGCGGCAUGGGCAGCACUAGCAGGUGUCGGGGGGGCAAGGGCUCAAUCAGCCCCAGAGACAAACCCACCGGGGACCAAUGCCUCUCUGCAAGGGGGAACAAGUUACUUUUACCUGUUCUGCACAAAAUAACCAGGACAAAAAUAUCCACGCCUCUAAUUCCUCCUUCAGCAGAGAACCGGGCAGCUUCAAAGCCCUGAUCUCAAACCGCUGCCUGGCAGGCAGCACAGCUCUCCUGCGGCCAGCUAAAGCAUCAGCAUCGGGUGGCCUGCUGCUGGCUUGAUGCGGAUGUGCUCAGGAUACCUGCUUUGAGCACCCUGGCUCCUGCGCAAGAUGCUGGUGGGUCUGCGAGGCUGACAAACGACCCGAAAGGUGGUUUCUUCUGUCACACAGGCUGCCUUCGCCGCCGCCACGACCCAGCCAGCACACGCGGCUCCGAUUGCGACACAGCCGGCCUCUGUCAGUGGCUGCUUUUAUUCGUCUUCCUCAAAGGCUUAAAUAAACAAGAAACAGGUUAAAAACAAAAUCUUGGCCCCGGCCCCUUCCUGAGCUGGCUGUUCCAUGAUGGCUUCCUGCCCCGUGCGCGAGCUUCCCCCUCCAGAGAAAAGAGGCGCCGUCCUGCAGCUGCCUUGAGUGGGAAAUAAGGCCGUGUACCUGCCUUUGAUAUCGAUGCCAGGCCAUCAAAGCCGCCCUCUCCACACCGUCCUCGGCGCUCACCGCGUCGAGUGGGAGCUGGAGCGUGCCGGUGGGAGCUGGAAGAGGUUUGCCUUCCCAGGGCCGCGGCACAAGGACGCGGGGACGCUCCGCGUCAGCCGGGCACCCACUCCGCACGGGGAGGCAUUUCCCGUGGCGUGGACCCCGCGCACCUCUCCAAAGCCUUCACCCAGGGCUGCAGGGAGGAAUUUUAUUCCACUUGCAAUCUGCCGUGAGCAUAAAAACAAUCUCGGAGAAGCCCAUCAGCUCGAGAGCUUAUGCUCUCAGGACCUGUGGCGCAAGUUGUACUCGAGUGAAGCUCCUCUGGUCAUUUUGAUGAAGGGACGUCAGGAGCUCAUCUCAUUCACCCCCUGCCCAAGGUCACUGCAUGACGGCUGGGCAAGGCUCCCGGGGGUUUUGAAACACUUCACGUGCAUGAACUUGCCUCACAGCACCUUCGUGAUGGACGUUUUCUAUUCUUGCCGCUUGAAACUUUGAGAAACAGAUAAAAAGGCGCCAAGGUACACAACGAAACGCUGCGCUAGGCCAUGUGCAUUUCUUCCUGCCCCCAGCUCUGUACUUUCUUGAUGAGGUCCAAAUGUUUUUCUUAGCAGAGCAUUUGAGGUUUGGUUUUCUGUGUGUAUUAAAGAGCUUUGUGUCCAUCAUGCUACAGCUAAAAUGUGCCACUAUCUAGCACUGGCAAUAUGUUCCUGACUAGUGCUUUAAAGUGUUAUAGAUAAGUUAUGUGACAUUUUCCAUUUAAAUU